GACGAACGCUGGCGGCGUGCUUAACACAUGCAAGUCGAACGGGCCUGUCUUCUUUUUUGGGGGUGGGUUGAGUGGCGAACGGGUGAGUAUCACGUGAGUAACCUGCCCUUCGGUCCUGGAUAACCGCUUGAAAGGGCGGCUAAUACGGGGUGGUCCGGUUGGUCCGCAUGGGUUGGUCGGGAUAGAUUCACUGUUUUUGGUGUUUCGGCGGGGGAUGGGCUCGCGGCCUAUCAGCUUGUUGGUGGGGUGAUGGCCUACCAAGGCGGUGACGGGUAGCCGGCGUGGGGGGGUGGGCGGCCACGCUGGGACUGAGAUACGGCCCAGACUCCUGCGGGAGGCAGCAGUGGGGGGUAUUGCACGAUGGGCGGAAGCCUGAUGCAGCGACGUCGCGUGAGGGAUGGAGGCCUUCGGGUUGUGAACCUCUGUUUCCGGUGGUGAAGGCCCUGUCCGUGUGGUGGGGUUGACGGUAGCCGGGGAUGAAGCGCCGGCUAACUACGUG
rnacentral:rRNA from 1 species